CUUGCUGCCACUGAAAGAUCUAGAAGACCAGAUGAAAACCUUCCAUAACAUUGCACGGUACUUCCACAUGCCCUUGCUGGAAGAAGUGGUUACUUGGAUUAUGAAGAUGAAUCACUACAAGUUAUAACCGUAUUUUUUUGUAUAUAUGAAUAUAAACUGUAAAAAUCAACCCACUGUAUUUCUCUGUACACUAUAAUACUGCCCUAUAUGUUUUAAGUGAUUAAAACCGAGAUGGCUUUAUACACA